rnacentral:lncRNA from 1 species
AAAUCUUUGCCUCAGCUACUUGGGAGGUGAGGCAAGACAAUCACAAGUCUCAGGUUUGAGUGACCUAUGGAGUUGAGUUCAAGGCCCUCCCAGACAACUUAAUAAGAUCUCACCAUAAAAACAUGAGAUAAAAUGAAAUCCAGGGAUAUAGCUUGCUGGUAUAGCCCUUGCCAAGCAUGUGUGAGGUCUCAGGUUCAGUCCCUAAAGUAUGGAUAAGGAAACAGACAGGAGUAUGGUGGCAAGCAUCUUUAAUCCCAGUACUGAAUUGGAAGGCAGAGGCAGGUAGAUCCCUUUGAGUUCAAUGCCAGACUAGUUUAUACAGAAAGUUGUAGACCAGUUAUAUAAUGAGAUUUUUGUCUCAAGACAAAAAAAAACAAAAAACAAAAAACAAAAAAACAAACAAAAACAAAAAAAAAAAAAAACAGCUGGCUAACUCACUUUUAUAAAUAAAUAAUGAAUAAAUAUUUUUAAUUCUCAGAAAAGUACAAAUCAAAGGUACAAUGAGACAUUACCACAUUCUCAUAAGGUUGGCUACUAUUAGGACGUAUUUAGAGAUUACAUGUAUUAAUCACAUUGUUUGGAACGCUUCUAGCCUGCUGAUUCAAAUGUAAAAAGAUACAAGACGUAUGGAAUACAGUAUGGAAGGUCUUUAAAGAUUGAAAAUAGAACUACCAUAUGCAUGCAUAUAUGUGCAUAUACUCACAUAUGGGCAUAUGUACAAAAAAAAGUUUAAAUUAAGAUCUGGAAGUGGCAUCUAUACGUAUAUAUUCAAUGAAGGGCUAUUCUUUGUAGUCAAGAACUGUAACUAAUCCAAGUGUCCAUCGGGAGAUGUAUGGAUAAUGAUCAUGUAAUAUAUACAAUGGAAUAUAAUUUAAUCUUUAAAAAUUGAAGAAGAUUCUGCAAUUUGGGAAAAAGCUAGUGACUACAGAAGAUAUUAUGCUAAGUAAUAAAAAAAGUGACAAAAAGCACCACCGUAUGAGUCCACUUAUACAUGAGUUAUCUAAAUCGUCAAAUCAAUAUACUGAAAGGUACAUGUGUGCUAGACAAACAAAUGUUACCAAUCUGCUGUAUAACAUGAUAUCUAUAAUUAACAAUGCUAAAUUGUGACUUUCCAAAUUUUUUAUAAAAUAAAUGCUAGGUUAAAUAUUCUAACUACAAAUUUUAAAAAUAAUCAAAAUAUAAUUUUCCUUCCAUGUACACUUUUAAUAUUAGCUAUCAUCAAACUAAAAAAUAAUUGUAAAGAAUAUAUUCUUCAUAAUAAUAAAAUGACUUUCAAUUUUUCAUAAUAACCUGUGUUAGGUAUAUAAAACAGCAUUUUUUGACUAAAAUGCCUGCAUUCUAGUACAAUUUUUUUAAAUGAAGAAAGUAAGACUAAGAGCAGUUACUUAACAUACCCCAAAUUAUACCCUUAGAAUAUAAUAAUCAGCUUCUUACUUUAGGCUGCCCAGUUGGAGAUUAUGCUUGUCCACCCUUCUGUUAGCCACAGAGUAGUAUAAAGUUGGGUGACCCGUGUUCAUCCCUACAGUCUUUGAACUUUGUUAAAGCCAAAGCAACAAUCAGCAGCCAACUGAUAUGAGAAAACAUUUUGAAAUGUUUUAAAAUUGUGUUAAAUUUUUAAAAUCACUAGCUAGGACAGCAGUUCUCAACCUGUGAGUCACUAUGCCUUUGGUAAACUAUCUCCAAAAAUGUCUAUACCUAACAGUAGCAAAAUUACAGUCAUGAAGUAGCAAGGAGAAUAAUUUGGUGGCCGGGAGUCACCAGAACAUGAGGAACUGCAUCAAAGGGUCACAGCAUUAGGAAGGUGGAGAACCACUGACUAGAAUGUAACACUAACAGAGAAAUCACUACUGACCUUUGUAUCCGAAUAUUCAUAUCCUCCCCACAAUAUUAUUCCUGCUGCUCCCAAUGCAGCACUUUCGCCAAUUGUGUGCACUAAAUCCUCCUAUAAAGAGAAGGACCAGGAGAAAUGUUUGUCAAGUCAUGUUAAGCAUUGUUUAUUCAUUAAGGUUGUUUUCUAUAAAGAAACCAUUAUCGAAGUGCUGGAAAAGGUGAUUUGGGCAUUUUAGAUUGUCUGAUACUACUCCAACAUUCCAGGAAAUACUCUAAAUAAUGACGUUAUAAAAAUCAUCUGGACCUGGGAGCUAAGGCUGUCCCACAGCCCUCUACACUCAAACACUGCCCAGGAGAGAGCUGGUCUCCCCAGGAGUACUAACACACCUAAAAUCACAGGACCACAGGCCCAUAGGAGAGACAAGCACCAGUCAGAGACAGCAAGACCAUCUAACACCAAAAAUAACCAGAUGGCAAAAAGCAAGCUCAAGAACCUAACCAACAGAAACCAAGGCUACUUGGUAUCAUCAGAACCCAGUGCUCCCACCACAGCGAGUCCUGGAUAACCCAAAACUCCAGAAAAGCAAGAUUUGGAUUUAAAAGCACAUCUCAUGAUGAUAACAGAAGAUUUUAAGAAUGACAUAAAUAACUCCCUUAAAAAAAAGUACAGGAGGAUGCUCACAGUCAUCUAUAAGAUGGAACACAGGGACCCCAAUGGAGAAGCUAGAGAAAGCACCCAAGGAGCUGAAGGGGUCUGCAACCCUAUAGGUAGAACAACAAUAUGAACUAAACAGUACCCCCAGAGCCCAUAUCUCUAGCUGCAUAUAUAGCAGAAGAUGGCCUAAUCAGCCAUCACUGGGAAGAGAGGCCCCUUGUUAUUGAAAACUUUAUAUGCCCCCGUACAGGGGAAUGCCACGGCCAGAAGUGGGAAUGGGUAGGUAGGGGAGCAGGGCAGGGGGAGGGUAUAGGGAACUUUCAGGAUAGCAUUUGAAAUGUAUAUAAAGAAAAUAUCUAAUAAAAUUUAAAAAAAUACAGGAGAACACAGGUAAACAGGUAACUCUUAAAGAGGAAACACAAAAAUGCCUUAAAGUAUGACAGGAAAACACAAUCAAACAUGUUGAGGAAAGGAACAAUACCAUCUAAGAUCUAAAAAUGAAAAUAGAAACAAUAAAGAAAUCACAAAGAGCGGCAACUCUGGAGAUAGAAAACCUAGAAAGAAGAUCAGGAGUUAUAGAUGCAAGUACCACCAACAG